rnacentral:rRNA from 1 species
GCUAAAAAUCCAGCCCAACAAACAUGAAUACCAUUAAACUAACUAACUUCUUUUAAACAAACCAUUUUAACACUUUAGUAAAGGAGAUUGAAAAAUUUAUUGGAGCUAUAAUAAUAGUACCGCAAGGGAAAGAUGAAAUAUUUAAUGAAAAAUUUCAAGCAAUAAAAAGUAAAGAUUACCCCUUGUACCUUUUGCAUCAUGGUUUAACUAGUCUAAUCAAGCAAAACGUAUUUAAGUUUGACCUCCCGAAACUAAGUGAGCUACUUCAGGGCAGCUUUUAGAGCGAACCCGUCUCUGUAGCAAAAGAGUGGGAUGACCCUCAAGUAGCGGUGACAGACCUAACGAACUUAGUGAUAGCUGGUUACUCAAGAAAUGGAUCUAAGUCCAACCUGAAUAUUUACUCCUAGUCCAACAAGACAACUACUUUAUCUUCAGCGUAAUUCAAAUAAGGUACAGCCUAUUUGAAACAGGAUACAACCUAAACUAAUGGAUACACUGGCUUUAUACACAACCAAGUGGGCCUAAAAGCAGCCACCUUUAAAAUAGCGUCAAAGCUUAUUUGUCUACAAGCCUAAUCACUCAACCAUCACCUUAAUCCUCUAGCACUACUGAGUAAUUCUAUAACACUAUAGAAAAUUUUAUGUUAAAACUAGUAACAUGAAGGAAGUUCUUCUCUUCAAUGCAAGUGUACAUCAGUAAGGAUAAACCACUGAUACUUAGCGCACAAUGAAAUCAAAGUAGGAACUAAUCAAGAAAAGUCUACUCUCACCAGCGUUAACCUAACACAAGAGCAUUACAAGAAAGAUUAAAAGAAAAAGAAGGAACUCGGCAAAUAUUAACCUCGCCUGUUUACCAAAAACAUCGCCUCUUGAAUAAUUAUAAGAGGUCCAGCCUGCCCAGUGACCAUGUUCAACGGCCGCGGUAUCCUAACCGUGCGAAGGUAGCGUAAUCACUUGUUCUUUAAAUGUGGACUAGUAUGAAUGGCACCACGAAGGUUAUACUGUCUCCUUUUUCUAAUCAGUGAAACUAAUCUCCCCGUGAAGAAGCGGGGAUAACUCUAUAAGACGAGAAGACCCUAUGGAGCUUAAAACAACAUAACAAUUGCUUCACAACACAUAAUUUCCCGAAUUCUCCACUUCUAUGAGCAAUAUGUUUACAAGUUUUUGGUUGGGGUGACCGCGGAGCAUAACACAACCUCCAUGUUGAAAGAAUUUUUCUAAGCUAAGACCAACUAGCCUAAGCAUCAGUACUCUGACAUUCAUUGACCCAAUAUAUUUGAACAACGAACCAAGUUACCCUAGGGAUAACAGCGCAAUCCACUUCAAGAGCUCCUAUCGACAAGUGGGUUUACGACCUCGAUGUUGGAUCAGGGUAUCCCAGUGGUGCAGCCGCUACUAAAGGUUCGUUUGUUCAACGA